GACGAACGCUGGCGGCGUGCUUAACACAUGCAAGUCGAACGAAGUGGCGAACGGGUGAGUAAUACGUGGGUAACCUGCCCUCCUCUUUGGGAUAAGCCUUGGAAACGGGGUCUAAUACCGAACAAAGGGGGAUGGGCUCGCGGCCUAUCAGCUUGUUGGUGGGGUGAUGGCCUACCAAGGCGGUGACGGGUAGCCGGCCUGGGAGGGGGACCGGCCACAUUGGGACUGGGGUACGGGCCAAGCUCCUACGGGGGGCAGCCGUGGGGAAUCUUCCGCAAUGGGCGAAAGUCUGACGGAGCAACGCCGCGUGGGUGAUGACGGCCUUCGGGUUGUAAAGCUCUGUUAGUCGGGACACAGUACCGGAAUAGAAAGCCACGGCUAACUACGUGCCAGCAGCCGCGGUAAUAC
rnacentral:rRNA from 1 species